rnacentral:rRNA from 1 species
CACGACUCUCGGCAACGGAUAUCUCGGCCCUCGCCACGAUGAAGAACGUAGCGAAAUGCGAUACUUAGUGUGAAUUGCAGAAUCCCGUGAAUCAUCGAGUCUUUGAACGCAAGUUGCGCCCGAGGCUUCGGCCGAGGGCACGUCUGCCUGGGCGUCGCAUUCAUUCAAACGCCCUCGCCCAUGUAUGGGCGUUGGAGCGGAUCUGGCCGUCCGUGUCCUUCUGUUGGCCCGGUCGGCUAAAACGGAUUUCGGUUUCUCCGUCGUCUUGCAUCGGUGAGCGGUGGUUUGCACGCCUCGGGGUGAAAGGCCCGCGUGCGCCGAUGCGGGAGAGUGACGGCGUGCCUCGGUAGCCUCUGUGCCCGUCGUGCACGCGGCAGUGCGCCGGCGUGCCACGGGC